CAGCGCUCGGUCUUUUACGUCGGGAUUUGGAAGCUGCUGCUGGGCGGUAGGUUGAUCCACCGCAGGAACGAUGGCUUUCAGUGUAACGGAACUGUUACCUGGAGAUGCUAAGAUGCAAAGAAAAAUUUCAAAACAUAAGAGAGAAUAUUUGCUGGAGAAUUACUUAGCUAAAACCUGACAGUCUUACCAGCAUCCUGGGGCUUGAUGAAUACUAAUGAAGCUGUGGACCUCAUUGACUAGCAGCUUUAUUUUGAAUGAGGGGUCGCUGUCAGCGCAUUGAAAGAGGCCAGUUUGCUGGGAAGUUCCUCAACUGUAACCGUUUCUGGCUAGUGCCAUGAGAUUUACUUGACCUAUGAAAAACUGGUGAUCAGGAAAAGCGCUUCGUUUUACAGACAUGGAAAGAAAACAUACAAAGCAAGACGGAUUAUAUUGGGUUUUAAUUUUUUAAAUAGAUUCUGGACCAACAUAAGAUUCGAGGCAUUUCUAAUUAUUCAUGUAACACCCUCCAAGAGUCAAAACCUGUUAACCAGUAGGUUACUUCCCAGAUCUUUCUACUUUGUAAGUACAGGCAUACAUGUGAUACUAGAUAUUUCUGAUACAAAAUUCUUUUUCAGUUAACCAGCCUUGUAAUCACAUUUUUCUGAAUGUAUGUUUUGCCUUUGGCCCCGUUUGAAUAUAAAAUGCAUAAUUGUAAUUAAAGCUGAGUGAAAGUUUA